AUUGAACGCUGGCGGCAGGCCUAACACAUGCAAGUCGAGCGAGCGGCGGACGGGUGAGUAAUGUAUGGGGACUGCCCGAUAGAGGGGGCUAACUACUGGAAACGGUAGCUAAUACCGCAUCCUAUCGGAUAACCUAUAUGGGAUUAGCUAGUAGGUGAGUGAAUGGCUCACCUAGGCGACGAUCCCUAGCUGGUCUGAGAGGAUGAUCAGCAACCCGGGGACUGAGACACGGCCCAGCCUCCUACGGAGGCAGGAGUGAGGAAUAUUGCACAAUGGGCGCAAGCCUGAUGCAGCCAAGCCGCGUGUGUGAAGAGGGCCCUAGGGUUGUGAAGGACUUUAAGUCGCGAGGCGUUACCGACAGAAGAAGCACCGGCUAACUCCGUGCCAGCAGCCGCGGUAAUAC
rnacentral:rRNA from 1 species